AUUUAAAGUAUUGAAAAAUUAUUUAUUUAAAAAUUUAUUUUAAAAAUUAUUAUUUAAGUUUAAAUU
rnacentral:tRNA from 1 species